UUAACACAACAACAAUAAUAAUAAUAACAAAAUGACCAAAUUACUUGAUACCCAAAAUUCCAUACCCUCACCCUCUAUUUAUACCCCUUCUAUUAUUCCCUUUCUCUUUUAAUAUAAACCCUUUUUCUUUUCCUUUUCUUUCUCCGCCGUGCGUGCUCCGCCGUGCACCACUAGCUGUUGAAGCUGCCAGCAUGAUCUGAAUCUGAACCCUCCGCCGCCCCGAUCUCACGUCGGUCCAUCGGAAUCGGAUCAUAUUGGUAGCUUCAUCUGCUCAUGGUAUCACGAUUCUCUCUCUCUCUCUUCUUAACCCUAAUUUUUCAUUUUUAACCCUUUAUGGAAUUAUAGAAAUGGCAUUUACUUGGGAAACUCAAAUAUUAUAUCGACACAAAGAUUGAAGAUUGAAGAGAAGAUAUGUUUGUGUUAGGGUUUCCAAUUACAUUUUGAAGAAGAAUCGAAUCUAUAAUUAAUUUGAAGUAAACUACAAUAAUACGAAUUUAUCUACUGAAUUAUAUGUUUAGACUAACUAUUUGAACUUUGAGCUUAUAGAUCUUUUUUUUAAGUAUAUGUUCAGAAGAUAGAAAUUGAAUAAAAUAAAACUUUCUCGAAAUGAAUUCAUUUAUAUUCUGUAAUGUUAUGAAAAUUUAAAAUCUUGAAAUAAUUGGAUGAAAUAUAUAUAAUUUUUCUUGAGAAGGAUUAUUUUUACACUCAUUUUCGUUUUCCAAUUAGUAAUGUGGUUGGAUGGGUUUUCAUGAUGAGUAAUAAUUAAAGAUGGGUGAUAGAGAUGUUUAACUAAUGUAUUCAUUUUUAAAAUAUUGUGUCAUGAUUGAUAUUAUUCUUUUGCUUAGGUACAAAAUAAAUGUGUGACAUGAUAUUUAAUUUCUAAUAAAUGAAACAGUGAUAUGAUAUUCAACUAUUAAUUUUCAGGUCGUUAUUGUCAAAAAAAAAAAAAAAAAAAAAAA